rnacentral:misc_RNA from 1 species
GUGAAUCAUCAAAUCUUUGAACGCAAAUUGCGCUUCCUGGCAUCCCGGGAAGUAUGCCUGUUUGAGGGUCAGUAUUAAUAAAAAAUCGGUUUAGUUACAAAUUGUGACGUUUCCGGAGUUUGGGCUAUCUUAACAUUUUUGGUUAAGAGGCUUAAAAUUGACCUUUUUUGCGCAUUUUUAAACGUACAUAAAUUUUUUUAAUUCGUUAUUUCUAAUUCCCAAAUUCUAUUUAAUUCCAACAC